rnacentral:rRNA from 1 species
CAGUAGCGUAUAUUAAAGUUGUUGCGGUUAAAAAGCUCGUAGUUGGAUUUCGGUUUAUUACCACCAGCACAUAUGUGCCCGGAGGUAAGAGCCUUUCCAGUAGCAGGAUCCUUUACGGAUUUCUUUGCUCCUGGUCUUUUACUUUGAGGAAAUUAGAGUGUUCCAAGCAGGCGGCAGCCUUGAAUACGUUAGCAUGGAAUAAUAAGAUAGGAUCUCUGUCCUAUUUUGUUGGUUUCUGGGAUUGAGAUAAUGAUUAACAGGAUCAGUCGGGGGCAUUCGUAUUUAACAGUCAGAGGUGGAAUUCUUGGAUUUGUUAAAGACGAACUUCUGCGAAAGCAUUUGCCAAGGAUGUUUUCUUUGA